CCUACGGGGGGCAGCAGUGAGGAAUAUUGGUCAAUGGACGAGAGUCUGAACCAGCCAAGUAGCGUGAAGGAUGACUGCCCUAUGGGUUGUAAACUUCUUUUAUAUGGGAAUAAAAUGUUCCACGUGUGGGAUUUUGUAUGUACCAUAUGAAUAAGGAUCGGCUAACUCCGUGCCAGCAGCCGCGGUAAUACGGAGGAUCCGAGCGUUAUCCGGGUUUAUUGGGUUUAAAGGGAGCGUAGGUGGAUUGUUAAGUCAGUUGUGAAAUUUUGCGGCUCAACCGUAAAAUUGCAGUUGAAACUGGCAGUCUUGAGUACAGUAGAGGUGGGCGGAAUUCGUGGUGUAGCGGUGAAAUGCUUAGAUAUCACGAAGAACUCCGAUUGCGAAGGCAGCUCACUGGACUGCAACUGACACUGAGGCUCGAAAGUGUGGGUAUCAAACAGGAUUAGAUACCCCUGUAGUC
rnacentral:rRNA from 1 species